rfam:Cellulomonas sp. A375-1 contig_114, whole genome shotgun sequence.
GCCCCCGUUGUGUAGCGGCCUAGCACGCCGCCCUCUCACGGCGGUAGCGCCGGUUCGAAUCCGGUCGGGGGUA